rnacentral:rRNA from 1 species
GAUGAACGCUGGCGGCGUGCUUAAUACAUGCAAGUCGAGCGAAGCACUUUAACGGAAUUCUUCGGAAGGAAGGUAAAGUGACUGAGCGGCGGACGGGUGAGUAACGCGUGGGUAACCUGCCUUAUACAGGGGGAUAACAGUUAGAAAUGGCUGCUAAUACCGCAUAAGCGCACAGGGCCGCAUGGCCCGGUGUGAAAAACUCCGGUGGUAUGAGAUGGAUCCGCGUCUGAUUAGCUAGUUGGUAAGGUAACGGCUUACCAAGGCAACGAUCAGUAGCCGACCUGAGAGGGUGACCGGCCACAUUGGGACUGAGACACGGCCCAA